rnacentral:misc_RNA from 1 species
GAUGAAGAACGCAGCGAAAUGCGAUAAGUAAUGCGAAUUGCAGAAUUCCAGUGAGUCAUCGAAUCUUUGAACACACAUUGCGCCCUUUGGUAUUCCGAAGGGCAUGCCUGUUCGAGCGUCAUUAUCACCCCUCAAGCCCUCGGCUUGGUGUUGGACGGUUUGGUGGAGGCCCCCUCGGGGGCUCCUGCCCCUCCCAAAGACAAUGACGGCGGCCUCGUUGGACCCCCGGUACACUGAGUUCUUCACGGGACACGUAUCGGACACAUGGGUUUACGGGACACGGUCUGCCUCCCCUCAGGGAGAAUCUUUCUAAGGUUGACCUCGGAUCAGGUAGGGAUACCCGCUGAACUUAAGCAUAUCAAUAAGCGGAGGA